CGUGCAGAGCAACAGGAUCUGUUGGUCCAGUUUAUGUACUGUCUAUGGGAGGGACAGAACAACUUCUGGUUCAGCCAAGGACCGAGGAGUUGAGGAGCUUUCAAAUAAGAGUGAUGAGAUACAGCCACUGUCACCUCAGGCCGUGCUGCUCCUGCUGAGUGUCCUCACACUACCCAUCAUGCUGAGAGCCUGAAAGGAGUAUCGAGUUCCCAGUUCGAUACAAUGAAGGCAGAGGAGUGGAGAACUGUCGAGUGUCAAGCUGUUUAUAAAUUGUUUUAAUGGGACUUAUUUAAAAAUGUUUGAAGUAUCUUUUGCGCAAUGUUUGUACCUGAGAUGUACUUGAGCUGAAACUCCAGCUGUUCAUGUGGCAUUUGCAAAAACGCCCUCGUGGUUUUAGUGACUUAUUUACUUAAUUUUUCUGCCUAGGACUAUAGAAAACAUCUUAUUCCAGUUUGCACUUGGGUAAACUUUUCUACCGAAAAGCUGCCCAUCUGGUACAACAAGCAGUUUCAGCAAAUGCAUAUUUACUGUACACUUUGGUCUGACGAGUUUUAGCUGUGUACGGAACAAAUAGCCAGCAUCUUUCACAGGAAACCCAACCCAACAGUGUGGUUAUGUUUUAAUAUUGACAUGUGAAAUUAUCUGUGACUGUGAACUAUUUGUUGAAGGCACAGCAAAAAAGGUUUCCUAUUCUAAAAUAAUAAAGUUGAAACUAUGGUUUCCUUGUUUGUA